CUCGUGCGGGGCUCACGACAGCUAUAUCUCCAAGCAUCUCAAAUUAAUGCUUCGGAAUUAUUGCGAAAAGGUACGAAUUAAACAAAAAUAUUUGGUUGUCCAAGAUGAUCAGGGGUGAUAAUCAAAAAGAUUUGUCAUCAACAAUACUUUCUGGCCUGCACACACUCGUGCGCGUUCGUGAUCACAAUGGAAAUGAAAGCGAAGGUAACUGACCGAAACGACUAUAGCCCCGUAGCAUUCACUUCUGCCAUCAUGAACUGCUUUGAGAAUCUAGUUAAGGAUCAUAUCACCUCCAAUUUACCCGACACCCGAGACUCAUUACAAUUUGCAUACGGAUUCCACGGACGACGCAAUCGCCAUUGUACUGCACACUGCCCUAUCCCACCUGGACAAGAGGAAUACCUAUGUACGAAUGCUGUUCAUUGACUACAGCUCAGCCUUCAAUACCAUAGUGCCCUCCUAGCUCAUCACUAAGCUCAGACUGCUGAGUCUGAACCCCUCCCUGUGCAACUGGGUCCUAGACUUCCUGACUGGCCAAGGCCAACCAGGUGGUGAAGGUAGGCAACAAUACCUCCACCACUCUGAUCCUCAACAUAGCAGCCACACAGGGGUGCAUGCUCAGCUCCCUGCUGUACUUCCUGUUCCUGUUCACCCAUGACUGCGUGACCACACACAUCUCCCACUCAAUCAAGUUUACUGAUGACACCACAGUGGUAGGCCUGAUUACCAACAACGAUGAGACAGCCUACAGGGAGGAGGUGAGAGCCCUGGCAGAGCGGUGCCAGGAAAAUAACCUGUCCCUCAAUGGAAACAAAACGAAGCAGCAGAUCUUGGACAUCAGGAGAUGGCAGAGAGAACACGCCCCCAUCCACACCGACGGAGCUGCAGCAGAGGGUCAAAAGCUUCAAGUUCUCUGCAUGCACAUCACUGAGGAUCUGAAAUGGUCCCUUCACACCGACCGGUGCAACCGCGCCUCUUCAAUAGGCUGAAGAAAUUCAGCUUGCCCCCCCCCCCCCCCAGCCACGGCCUGUUAACCCCACUACCAUCCAGAAGGCGGAGACAGUACAAGUGCAUCAAAGCUGGGACCGAGAGACUGAAAAACAGCUUCUAUCUCCAGGCCAUCAGACUGUUAAACAGUCACCACUAGCCAGCCUCCGCCCAGUACCCUGCCCUGAACCUCAGACACUGUCACUAGCCAGCUAGCACCCAGUACUCUACCCUGCACCUUAAACUGCUGACCUAUGUACAUAGUAAUUGAACAUACCAUUUUAGCCACUAUGUAUUCUACUCAUUGCUCACUCUAACUAUUGCUAUACACAUCUAUUCACAUACAUAUAUUCUGGAGUCUUUCAGAAGCUAAUUUCC
rnacentral:lncRNA from 1 species